rnacentral:rRNA from 1 species
CUCUUGACCUCGGAUCAGGUAGGGAUACCCGCUGAACUUAAGCAUAUCAAUAAGCGGAGGAAAAGAAACCAACAGGGAUUGCCCUAGUAACGGCGAGUGAAGCGGCAACAGCUCAAAUUUGAAAUCUGGCGUCUUCGGCGUCCGAGUUGUAAUUUGCAGAGGGCGCUUUGGCAUUGGCAGCGGUCCAAGUUCCUUGGAACAGGACGUCACAGAGGGUGAGAAUCCCGUACGUGGUCGCUAGCCUUUACCGUGUAAAGCCCCUUCGACGAGUCGAGUUGUUUGGGAAUGCAGCUCUAAAUGGGAGGUAAAUUUCUUCUAAAGCUAAAUACUGGCCAGAGACCGAUAGCGCACAAGUAGAGUGAUCGAAAGAUGAAAAGCACUUUGGAAAGAGAGUUAAAAAGCACGUGAAAUUGUUGAAAGGGAAGCGCUUGCAGCCAGACUUGCCUGUAGUUGCUCAUCCGGGUUUUUACCCGGUGCACUCUUCUACGGGCAGGCCAGCAUCAGUUUGGGCGGUUGGAUAAAGGUCUCUGUCAUGUACCUCCUCUCGGGGAGAACUUAUAGGGGAGACGACAUGCAACCAGCCCGGACUGAGGUCCGCGCAUCUGCUAGGAUGCUGGCGUAAUGGCUGUAAGCGGCCCGUCUUGAAACACGGACCAAGGAGUCUAACAUCUAUGCGAGUGUUUGGGUGUCAAGCCCGAGCGCGUAAUGAAAGUGAACGGAGGUGGGAACCUUUCGGGGUGCACCAUCGACCGAUCCUGAUGUCUUCGGAUGGAUUUGAGUAAGAGCAUAGCUGUUGGGACCCGAAAGAUGGUGAACUAUGCUUGAAUAGGGUGAAGCCAGAGGAAACUCUGGUGGAGGCUCGCAGCGGUUCUGACGUGCAAAUCGAUCGUCAAAUUUGGGCAUAGGGGCGAAAGACUAAUCGAACUAUCUAGUAGCUGGUUCCUGCCGAAGUUUCCCUCAGGAUAGCAGUAACGUU